AGCGAACGCUGGCGGCAGGCCUAACACAUGCAAGUCGAGCGCCCCUCCUUCAGAGGACAGAGGACGGACGGCAGAGGACGGAUCAGACCGUCGUCGGUCGUCUGAUGUCUGUUCUCUGAUGGAGGGGAGCGGCAGACGGGAGAGUAACACGUGGGAACGUACCCUUUGGUUCGGAACAACCCAGGGAAACUUGGGCUAAUACCGGAUAAGCCCUCACGGGGAAAGAUUCAUCGCCGAAGGAUCGGCCCGCGUCUGAUUAGCUGGUUGGUGGGGUAAUGGCCCACCAAGGCGACGAUCAGUAGCUGGUCUGAGAGGAUGAUCAGCCUCACUGGGACUGAGACACGGCCCAGACUCCUACGGGAGGCAGCAGUGGGGAAUAUUGGACAAUGGGCGCAAGCCUGAUCCAGCCAUGCCGCGUGGGUGAUGAAGGCCCUAGGGUUGUAAAGCCCUUUCGGCGGGGAAGAUAAUGACGGUACCCGCAGAAGAAGCCCCGGCUAACUUCGUGCCAGCCGCCGCAGUAACAC
rnacentral:rRNA from 1 species